rnacentral:rRNA from 1 species
AGAGUUUGAUCAUGGCUCAGAUUGAACGCUGGCGGCAGGCCUAACACAUGCAAGUCGAGCGGUAGCACAGAGAGCUUGCUCUCGGGUGACGAGCGGCGGACGGGUGAGUAAUGUCUGGGAAACUGCCUGAUGGAGGGGGAUAACUACUGGAAACGGUAGCUAAUACCGCAUAACGUCGCAAGACCAAAGUGGGGGACCUUCGGGCCUCAUGCCAUCAGAUGUGCCCAGAUGGGAUUAGCUAGUAGGUGGGGUAACGGCUCACCUAGGCGACGAUCCCUAGCUGGUCUGAGAGGAUGACCAGCCACACUGGAACUGAGACACGGUCCAGACUCCUACGGGAGGCAGCAGUGGGGAAUAUUGCACAAUGGGCGCAAGCCUGAUGCAGCCAUGCCGCGUGUGUGAAGAAGGCCUUCGGGUUGUAAAGCACUUUCAGCGGGGAGGAAGGCGGUAAGGUUAAUAACCUUGUCGAUUGACGUUACCCGCAGAAGAAGCACCGGCUAACUCCGUGCCAGCAGCCGCGGUAAUACGGAGGGUGCAAGCGUUAAUCGGAAUUACUGGGCGUAAAGCGCACGCAGGCGGUCUGUCAAGUCGGAUGUGAAAUCCCCGGGCUCAACCUGGGAACUGCAUUCGAAACUGGCAGGCUAGAGUCUUGUAGAGGGGGGUAGAAUUCCAGGUGUAGCGGUGAAAUGCGUAGAGAUCUGGAGGAAUACCGGUGGCGAAGGCGGCCCCCUGGACAAAGACUGACGCUCAGGUGCGAAAGCGUGGGGAGCAAACAGGAUUAGAUACCCUGGUAGUCCACGCCGUAAACGAUGUCGAUUUGGAGGUUGUGCCCUUGAGGCGUGGCUUCCGGAGCUAACGCGUUAAAUCGACCGCCUGGGGAGUACGGCCGCAAGGUUAAAACUCAAAUGAAUUGACGGGGGCCCGCACAAGCGGUGGAGCAUGUGGUUUAAUUCGAUGCAACGCGAAGAACCUUACCUGGUCUUGACAUCCACAGAACUUUCCAGAGAUGGAUUGGUGCCUUCGGGAACUGUGAGACAGGUGCUGCAUGGCUGUCGUCAGCUCGUGUUGUGAAAUGUUGGGUUAAGUCCCGCAACGAGCGCAACCCUUAUCCUUUGUUGCCAGCGGU